AUUGAACGCUGGCGGCGUGCCUAACACAUGCAAGUCGAGCGAGGGUCGGACGGGUGAGUAAUGUAUGGGGUUCUGCGCGAUAGAGGGGGAUAACUACUGGAAACGAUGGCUAAUACCGCCUACUAUCAGAUGAACCCAUAGGGGAUGAGAUCGUAGGUGGGGUAAAGGCUCACCUAGGCGACGAGCUCUAGCUGGUCUGAGAGGAGGAUCAGCCACAUGGGGACUGAGACAGGGCCCAGACGCCUACGGGAGGCAGCAGUGGGGAAUAUUGCACAAUGGGCGCAAGCCUGAUGCAGCCAUGCCGCGUGUGUGAAGAAGGCCUUAGGGUUGUAAAGUACUUUCAGCGGGGAGGCGUUACCCGCAGAAGAAGCACCGGCUAACUCCGUGCCAGCAGCCGCGGUAAUUC
rnacentral:rRNA from 1 species